CCUACGGGGAGCUGCAGUAGGGAAUAUUGCUCAAUGGGGGAAACCCUGAAGCAGCAACGCCGCGUGAAGGAUGAAGGUCUUCGGAUUUUAAACUCCUUUUGUUAGAGAAGAUAAUUACGGUAUCUAACCAAUAAGCACCGGCUAACUCCGUGCCAGCGGCCGCGGUAAUACGGAGGGUGCAAGCGUUACUCGGAAUCACUGGGCGUAAAGAGCGCGUAGGUGGGAUAGCAAGUCAGAUGUGAAAUCCUACGGCUUAACCAUAGAACUGCAUUUGAAACUGUUAUUCUAGAGUAUGGGAGAGGUAGGUGGAAUGCUUGGUGUAGGGGUAAAAUCCGUAGAGAUCAAGAGGAAUACUGAUUGCGAAGGCGACCUGCUAGAACAUAACUGACGCUGAUGCGCGAAAGCGUGGGGAGCAAACAGGAUUAGAUACCCGAGUAGUC
rnacentral:rRNA from 1 species